rnacentral:lncRNA from 1 species
GGAAACUAGGAAAGGGGGUAACAUUUGAAAUGUAAAUAAAGAAAAUAGCUAAUCUUAACUGCUGAGCAUCUACUAUCUUAUCUAUCUAUCUAUCUAUCUAUCUAUCUAUCUAUCUAUCUAUCUAUGAUUCAUGUGCAUGGCUGGUGCCCAAAGAAGAUAAAAGAAGGGCUCUGAUCCCCUGUAACUAGAGUUAGACAGUUGUUAGCUGCCAUGUGGUUGUUGGGAAUUAAACCCAGGUUCCUUGGAAGAGUGGUCUGUACUCUUAACUGCUGAGCCAUUUCUCCAGCCCAAUUACUUUAUUUUAAUUUAUUUAUUUAUUUUAAAAAAUCCUUUUUAAGAUUUAUCUAUUUUAUGUGUAUGAGUGUUUUGCUCAGUUGUAUAUCUGUAUCAUAUGUAUUCUGGAACUGGAGUUACAGACAGCUGUGAGCUACCUUAUGGAAGCUGAGUAUUUUGUGUAUAUUUUUAUAUGUGUAUAUGUGUGUGCUGAGUGAUGUUUGUGCAUACAGUGCCCAAGAAGAUCAGAAGACUGUGUCAGAUCUCCUGGAGCACGUGUUACAAGCAGCUGUGAACUGCCUGGGGGGGGAUUAGGACUCAAACUUGGAUGCUCUGCAUGAACAGUACACCCCUUAAGCACGGAGCCAUCUUUAGAGCUCCUUAUUUUUGGUCUUAAUUAAGUAUCUUCCAAAUAUUGGGAUUAUUAGAAUGUGCUACCACACCCACCCCAAAUUUUUCACCUAAUUUGGGGUACAGAGUUCUUUCUGGAAAUUUUUUGUUGUUUUGAGAGAUAGUCUCUUCUAACCCAUUUUGGCCUUGAACUCAUAGAGCUGAGACUGACCUAGAACUCCUGAUCCUCCCCCCUCUCUACCUUUCUAGUGCUGAGAUUAUAGGUGUGCAUGACUGGCAAAUUGACACUGUAUAUCUAUGCCACUGAAUUGUUCAGAACCAGUUUCUGACUAAUAAAAUUUAAAAUGUAUUGUUUUUUUUUCUAGUAUUGACUGUGCAGGUAUUUUAAAGCUCCGCAACUCAGAUAUAGAACUUCGAAAAGGAGAAACUGAUAUUGGCAGAAAAAAUACUAGAGUCCGACUUGUAUUUCGUGUGCACAUCCCACAGCCCAGUGGAAAAGUUCUUUCUCUACAGAUAGCAUCUAUUCCUGUUGAGUGCUGUAAGUAACCUUGUGUUGUGUUUUAAAAUUUCCAUGUAAGUUUUGUUUUUGGGGGGGUGUUUGUUUGUUUGUUUGUUUGUUUCGAGACAGGGUUUUUCUGUGUAGCCCUGGCUGUCCUAGAACUCACUUUGUAGACCAGGCUGGCCUUGAACUCAGAAAUUCGCCUGCCUCUACCUCCCAAGUGCUGGGAUUAAAGGCAUGCGCCGCCGCCGCCACCACCCGGCUGUAUUUAUUUUUUAUCAAAAUGGGAUAUAAACUAAAAAUACAGCGAGUCUGAGUUGCUGGUUUGUUUUUCUGACAUGAAAAUAAGUUAACAAGGUAAAAAAGAGUGCUAAUUUUAGGUUAGAAAUGUUUUCUCACUGUAGUUUGAUUCUAGGCAGCUAUACGGCUGUAGAGAAGCUCUUCUUGCCUCUUCUCUGCCUCCCUCUCUGUCUUGCCUCCAACUUACAUUUUUUUCUAGCUCCUGCCUGAAGCCUGUUGGAAUUGAGUAUAGGUUUGUACCACCUUCUCUACCUGUAAAUGAAAGUAUAUGAGGAUCCUGUGGUGAAGCUGUGAUCUUGAUGCUUUUAGUUGUCACUUGAUUAUCUUUCAAGUGUUAACCUUAAUAUAAUAGAAUUCUGUUUUGCAGGCUUAUCCCUCAGCUGAAUAAGAAUUAAUGGGGUUGAUUGGUUGGUUGAAGACAAGGUCUCACAAUGUAAUACUGGUUGGCCUAGAACUGUCUCUAGGUAGAUAAAGCUGACCUUGAGUUCACAGAGACCCAACUGCUGCUGCCUUUUGAGUAUUAAGAUUCAAGGCGUGUAUAAACCCAUGCUGGGUUUAUAACAAGGGCUCUUAAACACUGAGCCAACUCAAUAGUCUCUGCCUUUUAUUUUGGAAUACAAAGUCUCAUGUAUGGCAAUCUGGCCUCAAAUUUACUCCGUAGCUGAGUAUCACCUUGAGUUCAUAUACUUCUGUCUGUGUCUCAAGUGCAGGAGUUACAGGAAUGCAUCACCAUGCCAGGUUUGUGUAGAUCAAAUCCCAGGUCCUGGGCAUGCUAGGCAGCAUCUUACCAACUGAACUACCUCCCCACUCAGACUACAUGGACUCUUAAUUGGAGGUCACAUGGAAUUAUAAAAUCUUCCUUUUGUCUGUUUGGUAGUUGCUGAGUCAAAGUUAAAUUUUAUCAUCUCCCAAAUGAAUGUAAGAAUGCCUGAGAAAAUCUUGUUGAUAUAACUUACUAUAGAACAAGUUUAGAUAUUUUAAAAAGUAAUAUGGGUAUAUGGUACAGAAUUUAUAAUGGGUUUAGGGACAUGUGUCUGUAAUUUCAGCACUUUGGAGGUGAAAGCAAGAGGAUCAGGAGUUUAAGGUCAUCCUCGACUACAGAUGAAGUUCAGGACCAGCUUGGACUCUGACUCAAAAGAGGGUGGGGUGGGGAAACUAUAUUGUUAGCUGUUAAAGAACAGAAAGUAGCAGGAAAAGGUGGAAUAAAAACUUAAGUAAUACUGUACAUUAGAAAUCACAUUAUAGCCAGGUGUCGUGAUAUACACCUUUAGUUCAACGAUUUGGGAAGCAGAGGCAGGAUUUGGGAACCAGGCCAGCCUGGUCUACAGAGUCAGUUCUAAGACACCCAGUGUUAUGCAGAGAAACCCUGUCUUGAAAUGCCAAUCAAUCAAUCAGAAAAAAGAAAAAAGAGAAUCGGAUUAUGUUCCUGAAAUCCUGUGG